GGAGAAUUGUGUAACUGUAUCUCAAUCCGUGUGUGCGUAAUCAGAUUUGUAAAUGUGUAAAAUAAUCUGUAAAUGCGUACUGAGAUUUGUGAAUGUGUACAGGAAUCUGCAAACGUGUGUUCAGAUUCUGUGUGUGCGUGAAAUAUUUGUAAUUGUAUUGAGAUUCGUAAAUGUUUGGACAAAUCUGUAAAUGCGUACAUAUAUCUGUGAAUGAGUAGACACAUCUGUAAAUGUGUAUACAAAUAUGUAAAUGCUUAUACAGACAAGUCAUCAGUUACAAUUCAGAUGGGCCUCUGAAUUCGCUGUCUUUUUACACGUGACUUUUGCUACACUUGCGUGUUGCGAUUUGCAAAUGUGUGUGGAGAUUUGUAUGUUUAGCCACCAGGCGGCGGUAGCACGCACUGAUUUUACGCAUGACAUUGAUGGGCUCGUUGUGGUUUAAGGAAUGUAAUUUAAGUCUAUAUUAAAUAAGUAUGUCUCCCAGAAAAGCUUCUCAGAAUUAUUGAGGCUGCCAACCGCUUCGACGGGACGGGGUAUGGGCUCUAAUUCAGGACAUCCUGGCUUGCACAUCCUUUUGAUUCAUAGCUCCGAUGUUGCAGACUACCAAAGGACAGACGAGGCCCAUUGCAACGGUUAACUGCCUGGGGCCCUACACUCUCUCCGCAAUUCUGGCCACCAGUGUUCUGGGUCACAAUGUUCCACCGUGGGUCCUGACUGCCGAAAACACUACCGGGCUAAACAUGCUCAAAGACAUUUGUCACUUAUCCUUCUUGUAAUACCAAACAUGCAUCUGUGUAUUCAAAUAUUCCACAAUAUUACUUGGAUACUGCAUACCACAUAGUCUCCAUACCACAUGUCAAACACACAUACAGACCAUAAAGCCCAUGAUAAUGACUGAGUCUGUAUAUGUCAAAGCUGUAUACAACCACAGCACAGUAUCCAUCAAGACUGGAAAACAGUUAUUGUUUCAUAGAGAGGAUAAAACAGGCCAAUAUUAGCUAUUAUGGAAACCAGUGAAGCUUGGUCCCAAACUGAUGGGUUGCUUUUCAGAUUGUGUGAGAUUGGCUGGAACUGUAGAGGUACUGGGAGCAGUAAACUGACUCAGGAGGACAUGCACUGAAAGUAGUCUGGUCAUUCCUUCAAGGUAUCUAGAGUGUUUUCCUCUGCACCAUUGUGUGUCUAGGACUUAAAGAAAAUCAGCAAUUAAUAAAAUGUUCAGUCUUAACAGAUGUCCGU